UACUUAGUGGCAGACGGGUGAGUAACAUGUGGGUAUCUACCCUUUGGCCUGGAAUAACACGAGGAAACUUGUGCUAAUACCGGAUAAGUCUUUACGGAGAAAGCUUUAUGCACCAUUGGAUGAGCCCGCACUUGAUUAGUUUGUUGGUAGGGUAAUGGCCUACCAAGACUAUGAUCAAUAGCUGAUUUGAGAGGAUGAUCAGCCACAUUGGGACUGAGACACGGCCCAAACUCCUACGGGAGGCAGCAGUGGGGAAUCUUGCACAAUGGAGGAAACUCUGAUGCAGCGAUGCCGCGUGAGUGAAGAAGGCCCUUGGGUUGUAAAGCUCUUUCGUCGGGGAAGAAAAUGACUGUACCCGAAUAAGAAGGUCCGGCUAACUUCGUGCCAGCAGCCGCGGUAAUACGAAGGGACCUAGCGUAGUUCGGAAUUACUGGGCUUAAAGAGUUCGUAGGUGGUUGAAAAAGUUAGUGGUGAAAUCCCAGAGCUUAACUCUGGAACUGCCAUUAAAACUUUUCAGCUAGAGUAUGAUAGAGGAAAGCAGAAUUUCUAGUGUAGAGGUGAAAUUCGUAGAUAUUAGAAAGAAUACCAAUUGCGAAGGCAGCUUUCUGGAUCAUUACUGACACUGAGGAACGAAAGCAUGGGUAGCGAAGAGGAUUAGAUACCCUCGUAGUCCAUGCCGUAAACGAUGUGUGUUAGACGUUGGAAAUUUAUUUUCAGUGUCGCAGGGAAACCGAUAAA
rnacentral:rRNA from 2 species